rnacentral:rRNA from 1 species
AUUGAACGCUGGCGGCAGGCUUAACACAUGCAAGUCGAGCGGGGUGAUGGUGCUUGCACUAUCACUUAGCGGCGGACGGGUGAGUAAUGCUUAGGAAUCUGCCUAUUAGUGGGGGACAACAUCUCGACAGGGAUGCUAAUACCGCCUACGUCCUCCGGUAGAAACCAGGGGUUCACUGGUGACCUUGCGCUAUUGCAUGAGCCUAAGCCGGAUUAGCUAGUUGGUGGUGUAAAGGCAUACCAAGGCGACGAUCUGUAGCGGGUCUGAGAGGAUGAUCCGCCACACUGGGACUGAGACACGGCCCAGACUCCUACGGGAGGCAGCAGUGGGUAAUAUUGGACAAGGGGGGGAACCCUGACCAGCCAUGCCGCGUGUGUGAAGAAGGCCUUAUGGUUGUAAAGCACUUUAAGCGAGGAGGAGGCUCUUUUGGUUAAUACCCAAGAUGAGUGGACGUUACUCGCAGAAUAAGCACCGGCUAACUCUGUGCCAGCCGCCGCCGUAA